CGCCUCUUGAUUGAUAAGCACGAGAGGGUUGGGCCUGCCCGGUGAAUAACUAUUUAAACGGCCGCAGUGAAUAGCUGUGCUAAGGUAGCGUAAUAAAUUGUCUCUUAAUUGGAGAAGGGUAUGAAUGGUUUGACGUGGUAGUUUCUGUCUCAAUAAUAGUAUUGCGAAGUUUUCAUUUAAGUUAAAAGUCUUAAAUAUAUGUAAAAGACGAGAAGACCCUGUCGAGCUUAAUAAAAUUAUGUAAAGAUUUCAUAUAAUAAAUUUAACUGGGGCAGUUGAGAACCAAAAAAUAGUUCUUUGUUAUUUGAAGAUCCGGUUUUACCGAUCAUAAGAAAAAGCUACCGCAGGGAUAACAGCGUUAUCCUUUCUAAGAGAACUAAUUGAAGAAAGGGUUUGCGACCUCGAUGUUGGAUUAAAGUUCUUUUUGGUGCAGCAGCUAAAAUAGUAGGACUGUUCGUCCUUUAAAACUUU
rnacentral:rRNA from 1 species